GACGUAGGGCGUAAGCGUUGUCCGGAUUUAUUGGGCGUAAAGAGCUCGUAGGCGGUUUGUCGCGUCUGCUGUGAAAUCCCGAGGCUCAACCUCGGGCCUGCAGUGGGUACGGGCAGACUAGAGUGCGGUAGGGGAGAUUGGAAUUCCUGGUGUAGCGGUGGAAUGCGCAGAUAUCAGGAGGAACACCGAUGGCGAAGGCAGAUCUCUGGGCCGUAACUGACGCUGAGGAGCGAAAGCGUGGGGAGCGAACAGG
rnacentral:rRNA from 1 species